UACGGAGGGGGCUAGCGUUGUCCGGAAUCAUUGGGCGUAAAGAGCGCGUAGGCGGCCAGAUAAGUCCGGUGUGAAAGUCAAAGGCUCAACCUUUGAAUGCCGCUGGAAACUGUCUGGCUAGAGUCCGGAAGGGGCGAGUGGAACUCCUGGUGUAGCGGUGAAAUGCGCAGAUAUCAGGAGGAACACCAAUAGCGAAGGCAGCUCGCUGGGACGGUACUGAGCUAAGGCGCGAAAGCGUGGGGAGCGAACAGG
rnacentral:rRNA from 1 species